GACGAACGCUGGCGGCGUGCUUAACACAUGCAAGUCGAACGGUAAGGCCCUUCGGGGUACACGAGUGGCGAACGGGUGAGUAACACGCGGGUGAUCUGCCCUGCACUUCGGGAUAAGCCUGGGAAACUGGGUCUAAUACCGGAUAGGACCACUGCCUGCAUGGGUGGUGGUGGAAAGCUUUUGCGGUGUGGGAUGGGCCCGCGGCCUAUCAGCUUGUUGGUGGGGUGAUGGCCUACCAAGGCGACGACGGGUAGCCGGCCUGAGAGGGUGACCGGCCACACUGGGACUGGGAUACGGCCCGGACUCCUACGGGAGGCAGCAGUGGGGAAUAUUGCACAAUGGGCGCAAGCCUGAUGCAGCGACGCCGCGUGAGGGAUGACGGCCUUCGGGUUGUAAACCUCUUUCAGCACCGACGAAGCGCAAGUGACGGUAGGUGCAGAAGAAGGACCGGCCAACUACGUGCCAGCCGCCGCCGUAA
rnacentral:rRNA from 1 species